ensembl:lncRNA
GCAGAUUGUAAAAAUGAAAAGAUGAAAUGAAAUGUGUGCAAUAUAAAUUAACAGUACAGUUAAUUAAAGCCGACCAAUUAAAAAAAAAAAAAAAACAUAUUUAAAUAAAUGUACAUGAAAUAAAAAUAAGGCAGAAAUGACUUAAGGGAAAUGUGCAAAACUGAGAAGGUUGUAAAAAAAUUAAAUGAAAUCUGUAAUAUAAAUCAACAGUACAGUACAAGUGAAAUCCUGACAAGCGAGUUAGGUUUUAAAGCAGCCAGAGUAUCCCUGUUUUUUUUGUUUUGUUUUUUAGAUCUUUUUUUUUUCAGAAUUUUUUUUUCAGGGUAGAUGGAUGAGGUAGGAUGGAGUGGGAGGUGAAGGAAGGUGUUCUUACAGGUGUCUAGUCUCAGGCACGUUGAUGUUGACGUCCUGGAUAGUCUCCUUUUUCUUCUCUUCUCUCUCCUAUGUCUUUGUCUCCUUGUCCUGGAGCUUGUGCCUCAUUUCGUCCAUCUCCGUCUGCCGGUCUUUUUUUUUUUUUUUUUUUCCAGAAUUUUUUUUCAGGGUAGAUGGAUGAGGUAGGAUGGAGUGGGAGGUGAAGGAAGGUGUUCUUACAGGUGUCUAGUCUCAGGCACGUUGAUGUUGACGUCCUGGAUAGUCUCCUUUUUCUUCUCUUCUCUCUCCUAUGUCUUUGUCUCCUUGUCCUGGAGCUUGUGCCUCAUUUCGUCCAUCUCUGUCUGCCGGUCUUUUUUUUUUUUUUUUAAGUACAGGCAGAUGUUUUCAAGGACUGUUUUGUUGUCCUCUAAUUCUGGGAUCCUGGUGAUACGGAUCUAAUGUUCUUUGGGGAUGGUAUCCUCUGUUUGUUGGAUCUUAGAGAUCAGGCACAAUACAGUGAACCCACUGCUUGUGACCAUCUCUUGGUGGAUAUCCUCUUGGCUCUUUUUCAAAUUCAAAGAUUUUAUUGUCAAAUAUACCCCCCUUGUGUAUUGAAAUUCUUAUGCUUGCCUUUUCUGGACAGCCGACCAAUUUUAAAAUAAAAAAAAUAAAAAUAAAUGAUUUACAUAAAUGUACAUGAAAUAAAAAUGAGGCAAAAAUGAGGUAAGGGGAAAUGUGCAAAACUGAGCAGGUUGUAAAAAAAAAAUGAAAAUGAAAUGAGUGCAAUAUAAAUUAACAGUACAGUUAAUUAAAGCCCACCAAUAAAAAUAAAAAAAAAAAAUAUAUAUGUUUAAAUAAAUGUACAUGAAAUAAAAAUAAGGCAGAAAAGAGGUAAGUGAAAAUGUGCAAAACUGAGCAGGUUGUAAAAAAAAAUGAAAUGAAAUGGGUGAAAUAUAAAUUAACAGUACAGUUAAUUAAAGCCGACCAAUUAAAAAAAAAAAGAUUUUUUUUUAAAAAAUAAAUGUACUUGAAAUAAAAAUAAGGCAGAAAUGACGUAAGGGAAAUGUGCAAAACUGAGCAGUUUGUAAAAAAAUGAAAUGAAAUGUGUAAUAUAAAUCAACAGUACAGUAAAAGUGAAAUAACAAGCUGAAGUUCAGACCAGUUGUGGGUUAGGUUCUGAAGCAGCCAGAGAAUCCCUCUGUCAUUUUUUUUUUUUUUUUAGAUCGUUCUUAUUUAGAUCUUUUUUUUUUUUUUUUAGAUCUGUCUUACUUGGAUCUUUUUUUUUUUUUAUCUUUCUUAUUUAGAUCUUUUUUUCAGAUCUUUUUUUUUUUUAAGUACAGGCAGAUGUUUUCAAGGACUGUUUUGUUGUCCUCUAAUUCUGGGAUCCUGGUGAUAAGGAUCUAAUGUUCUUUGGGGAUGGUAUCCUCUGUUUGUUGGAUCUUAGAGAUCAGGCACAAUACAGUGAACCCACUGCUUGUGACCAUCUCGUUGUGGAUAUCCUCUUGGCUCUUUUUCAAAUUCAAAGAUUUUAUUGUCAAAUAUACCCCCCUUGUGUAUUGAAAUUCUUAUGCUUGCCUUUUCUGGACAGCCAACCAAUUUUAAAAUAAAAAAAAAUUAAAAAUA